UACGUAGGGGGGCAAGCGUUGUCCGGAUUUAUUGGGGCGUAAAGCGCUCGCAGGUGGUCCGUUGCGUCGUGCGUGAAAGACCCCGGCUCAACUGGGGAGUGUCGUGCGAUACGGGCGGACUGGAGGCCAGUAGGGGGAUGCGGAAUUCCAGGUGUAGCGGUGAAAUGCGUAGAUAUCUGGAGGAACACCGGUGGCGAAGGCGGCAUCCUGGACCGGUAUU
rnacentral:rRNA from 1 species